GGGCGGAGAGUCGAGGCUGUCGGAAGGGAAGGGAGUCCCCCAAAGACUCCAGUACUCAUUCCUUCAAGCCUCCCACUUAGAUUUCCUUCUCCAUCUCUUUGGAUGCCCUCGGACAAAUUCUCUGCUUCUCCGAGCCCAGUUUUUUGCAUUUGUAAACAGUUUCACUGAACUGUGAUUGAGUUGGGGGCGGGGGGCGGGGUGAUACAGACUUUGGCCGUGCACAGCGUCUAGCUCUGAGUGAGGGCCUAAUACUGUGGGGGAAGGGAAGAGGUCGGCCAUCCUAGGCUGUUAAGGUGGACUCACCUCUGCCCCUGCCGUGUCUCUCUGGGAAAGCCACUGGGCUUCUCAGAGCGCCCCCCCCCCGCCCCGCCCCUUUUGCAUAUCUGCACAAAGAGGACGAUGACACCUACUUGAGGGGGUUUUCCUGGGGAUCAGCUGAGAAACAGGAGACUGGCUUAGCACAGUGCCAGGCACCUGAAACUAUUGAGGCUGGCAGUGGCUGUCCCUGCUUCCAUCUGCCCCUGUCGUUCACUCCAGUGGGCAUUCACAGAGCAUCUGCUCUGAACCAGGUCCAUCGAGAACAUGCAGGGUUGUGGCAGAGGCAGAUGGGACCUGCACUGUGACUUGGCCAACGUGGACUGUGCCGAUUGUCUCCUUCUUAGAGCCUCAGUUUCCUCCUCAGGAAUACAGAGCAGCUGCCUCCGUGACUGCUGGAUUAGAGGAGAUGGUAGUUGAGGUCACACAAGACCUGAGUAGGGGAAACUCACUCUGAACUUCCCCGAGGUUCUGUCACUGGCCCUUUCUCCAAGGUUGUGGUGGGACAGGGCUUCAAAAAACCCAGGGGAGAAUGGUGAGGGCUCGGGUUCCAAAAGCAGAGUCAAUGGACAGUUUCCCCCUGUGUAAAUAGAGGGGAACAGCAGUGCUGGUUCCUCCGGGAGGAUUCAGAAGGGACAACACUAGCACGGGGUCUGGGGUAGGGUGACGUGGUGAACCAAAGCCUUCCCCUAGAGCAUAUGCCGGGACCUGACCUCUGCGUUCCCUUUUCAUUCAUUCACUCAUUCAUUCAUUCAUUCAUUCAGUGUCAGUGGUCUGACACUGUUGGGGGAGAAAAGGAAAUCUCAGCCUGAACUGGAAACCUAGGGACAGCAGGGAGAGUUAAGGGAUCUUGAGCAGCCACUGCUUCCAAACAGCCAUUCGUUGGCCCUGUGUGGGAGGAAACAUGCAAUGAUGGAUCUUUGACCUCGAAUCCUCCCUCCUCAAACUGUGGUCCACAGACCAGCCACAUGGCCAUCACAGGACAGACUCUUGUCCCCAGGCCAGACCUACUGAAUCAAGUGUGCAUUUGGGAUGAUAUCCAAGGAAUGUAGGCGUCACCAUCCUGGACCAUAAGGUGGAGGCCACCACAGAGCAGAGCAACAAGACAAAAAGAGCCUAAGUUCCUGCCGGGCACAGUGGCUCACACCUGUAAUUGCAGCACUUUGGGAGGCCGAGGUGGGCGGAUCACCUGAGGUCAGGAGUUCGAGACCAGCCUGACCAACAUGUGGUGAAACCCUGUCUCUACUAAAAAUACAAAAAUUAGCCGGGCGUGGUGCCACACGCCUGUAAUCCCAGCUACUCAGGAGGCUGAGGCAGGAGAAUCGCCUGAACCUGGGAGGCAGAGGUUGCAGUGAGCCCAGAUCACACCACUGCCCUCCAGCCUGUGCGACAGAGUGAGACUCUGUCUCAAAAAAAAAAAAAAAAAACCUGAGUUCCUGUCUCUAAGUGGCAAAAUACCUGUCCUCAAACACCUGCCCAAGAGAAACAAACAUCUAUCUUAUUUAAGCUAUUGUUAUUCUGUAUUUUCAGACACUUACACCUAAACCCAAUGCUGAUACACCUAUGCAGCCUGGCUAGCUACUUGACUGCCCCAAUGCUCAUGGACUAGGCCAGUCCCCUAUUACAUAAUCGCAUGGUACCUUGUAGGUUUCCUUGGGAGAACUGGGCAUGACGUGUGAUUAGGUUAUUAUUAAUUCGCUAGUAACUACUACCCCAUCUGAGUGAAAGUUCCCUGAGAGGGGCCUGUCGGGGGGUAGGGGGCUAGGGGAGGGAUAGCAUUAGGAGAAAUACCUAAUGUAGAUGACGGGUUGAUGGGUACACAAACAAUGAUGCCAUACACAAAUGGCACGUGUAUGCCUGUGUGACAAAACUGCACGUUCUGCACAUGUAUCCCAGAACCUAAAGUAUAAUUUAAAAAAAAAAAGGAAAGUUCCCUGAGACAAGGUGGUAUCACCAUCAUAUCCUAGCAUCCAGCCAGACCCUGCACAUGCUGGGGAUGCACUAACUAUGCGUUGAAGUUUGAAUAGAGGCUUCCCAGGGAGGCUCUGGGUCUCUUUGAGCAGGGAACAACAAUACAAGUUAAGUUUUCGGAUUAUCAAUCUUGUGGAAGCCUGUGGUAGGUAGCCAGCCUCCAGUGACCCUGAUCUCCUGGUAUUCCCAUGCCCUUCUAGAAUCACCUCCCACAAUGAAUAGGGCUGACCUAUCCUGUGUAAUCAACAGGAUAUUGCAGAAACGACAGUUAUGACUCCUGUGGCUACGUCACAAAAGACUGAGGCUCUGCUUAGCCACUCUUGAAUCACUCGUUCUGAGGGAAGCCAACUGCCUGUCCUAAAGAGGCUCAAGCACGAUUAUAAAGGGGCCUGGUCGGUGAGGAAUGAGGCCUCCCACCAACAGCCAUGUGAGUGGGCUCUCUUGGAAGUAGCGGCUCAGCCCCGGUCAGGGCUUCAAAGCUGCAUCCCCAGCCCACAGCUUAACCACAGGUUCUUGAGAGACCCUGAGAAACACCCAGCUCAGCUGCUCCCGAAUUCCUGAUCCAUAGAAACUAUAAGAUAAUAAAUGUUUGCUUUAAGCCAUUAAGUUGUGGGUAAUUAGUUACACAGCAGUAGAUAAAUAACAGAGACUCCAUCCUCAUUAUUUUUUUUUCCUACCAGUAACUUCUCCCUGCCUUCCUCCAUCUCACCCCCCGCCAGCCUGGGGAAAUAGAAAACCACUUUGGACUCAGAUCACUCUCUGCUGGGUGACCUGGACCAGUUGCUUAACUAGCUGGGUGUCUAGGUAUGAAAUGAAGGAUAAUAAUACCUUACCUGUGGCAGGUAGCCUCUGAAAUUGUCCCAAUUAACCCACCUCUUGGUAUUCAUACCCUUGUGUAAUUUCCUCCCUUCAAGUGUAGGCUGGACUUAUGGACUCAUUUCUAAUGCACAAAAUAUGGCAGAAGUGAUGAGCAUGUUGCUUCUGAGAUUAGGUUAUCAAGAGAUGGUGACUUCUGUCUUGGACACUCUCUUGCUAUCUCUUGGAUCAGUCACCCUGGAUAAGCUGGCUUCUGUGUGUGGCUUCUGUGCCCUAAGGAAAAGCCCCUGUGGGUGAGUUUGCAAGUGAUUCUUCUAAGGCAGGGGUGUCCAAUCUUUUAGCUUCCCUGGGCCACGCUGGAAGAAGAAAAACUGUCUUAGGGGCCGGGCGUGGUGGCUUACGCCUGUAAUCCCAGCACUUUGGGAGGCAGAGGCAGGUGGAUCACGAGGUCAGGAGUUUGAGACCAGCCUGACCAACAUGCUGAAACCCCGUCUCUACUAAAAACAAAAACAAUUAGCUAGGCAUGGUGGCGCAUGCCUGUAAUCCCAGCUACUCAGGAGGCUGAGGCAGGAGAAUUGCUUGAACCUGAGAAGCAGAGGUUGCAGUGAGCAGAGAUGGAGCCACUGCACUCCAGCCUGGGUGACAGAGGGAGACCCCGUCUCAAAAAAAAAAAAAAAAAUAGAAAAAUUGUCUUGGGCCACACAUAAAAUACAGUAACACGGGCUGGGUGCGGUGGCUCACGCCUGUAAUCCCAGCACUUUGGGAGGCCAUGGCCGAGCACCUGAGGUCAGGACUUCAAGACCAGCCUGACCAACAUGGUGAAACCCCGUCUCUACUAAAAAUACAAAAAAUUAGCCGGGUGUAGUGGUGGGUGUCUGUAAUCCCAGCUACUUGGGAGGCUGAGGCAGGAGAAUGGCUUGAACCCAGGAGGCGGAGGUUGCAGUGAGCUGAGAUUGCGCCAUUGCACUCCAGCCUGGGCAACAAGAGCAAAACUCCAUCUCAAAAAACAAACAAACAAAAAAACAGUAACACAAACAAUAGCUGAUGAGGAAAACAAAUCACAAAAAAUCUCAUAAUGUUUUAAGAAAGUUCAAGAAUUUGUGUUGGGCUGGAUUCAAAGCUGUCCUGGGAUGCAUUCAAAGCCAUCCGGGGCCACAGGCAGCCUGCAGACCACACAUUGGACAAGGUUGAGCUAAGGCCUGACAACAACCCUGUGAAUGAAUUUGGAAAUGGAUCCUUCUGCUCCAGUGGAGGCUUGACAUGACCACGGCCCUGGCCCCCAGCUUGACUGCAACCUCGUGAGAGACUCUGAGCCACAGGCAGCCAGCUGAGUUGCACCUGGAUUCCUGUGUGAUAACAAAUGUUUGUUGCUUUAGCCCCUAGGUUUAGGGUAAUUGGUUAUG
rnacentral:lncRNA from 10 species